rnacentral:rRNA from 1 species
UCUAGUAGCUGGUUCCCUCCGAAGUUUCCCUCAGGAUAGCUGGUGCAUUUUAAUAUUAUAUAAAAUAAUCUUAUCUGGUAAAGCGAAUGAUUAGAGGCCUUAGAGUCGAAACGAUCUUAACCUAUUCUCAAACUUUAAAUGGGUAAGAACCUCACCUUUCUUGCUAUGAAGGUUGAGGUUAUGAUAUAAUGUGCCCAGUGGGCCACUUUUGGUAAGCAGAACUGGCGCUGUGGGAUGAACCAAACGUAAUGUUACGGUGCCCAAAUUAACAACUCAUGCAGAUACCAUGAAAGGCGUUGGUUGCUUAAAACAGCAGGACGGUGGACAUGGAAGUCGUAAUCCGCUAAGGAGUGUGUAACAACUCACCUGCCGAAGCAACUAGCCCUUAAAAUGGAUGGCGCUUAAGUUGUAUACCUAUACAUUACCGCUAAAGUAUAUGAUUUAUAUUCAAUUUCGAUUGAAUUUAUAAAUUUUGAAACUUUAGUGAGUAGGAGGGUACAAUGGUGUGCUUAGAAGUGUUUGGCGUAAGCCUGCAUGGAGCCGCUAUUGGUACAGAUCUUGGUGGUAGUAGCAAAUAAUCGAAUGAGACCUUGGAGGACUGAAGUGGAGAAGGGUUUCGUGUGAACAGUGGUUGAUCACGAGUUAGUCGGUCCUAAGUUCAAGGCGAAAGCCGAAAAUUUUCAAGUUUUAAUAAAAUUUUAUAAAUACAAACUAAAUUUAUAUUAAUACACUUGAAUAAUUUUGAACGAAAGGGAAUACGGUUCCAAUUCCGUAACCUGUUGAGUAUCCGUUUGUUAUUAAAAUGGGCCUUGUGCUCAUCCUGGCAACAGGAACGACCAUAAAGAAGCCGUCGAGAGAUAUCGGAAGAGUUUUCUUUUCUGUUUUAUAGUCGUACUACCAUGGAAGUCUUUCGAAGAGAGAUAUGGUAGAUGGACUAGAAGAGCAUGACAUUUACUGUUGUGUCGAUAUUUUCUCCUCGGACCUUGAAAAUUUAUGGUGGGGUCACGCAAACUUCUCAACAGGCCGUACCGAUAU